AAAAUUAAAAAGGUGUGGGAGAAGUAAUUUGGAGCGUAUGAGUAUAAUCUCUCAAAAAAAGAUUAACAUAAACAAAAAAAUGUGCAUCUAAUCAAAUUAUCACAUAAAAUCAUAAAAACUUUAAAUUUAGAGAUUCUAUUAUAAAGACUCAUCUAUUGGAGUUGGAGACAAUAUUCAUGUAGGGACACAAGUUCUUUAAGUCCUUAAAUAAGUACUCACAAAUGAUGGUGGGAGUCCCUAAAUAGGGACUUCAUUUGGAGAUGCUGUUAGUAUUGCUUUUUCUUUUGUUUUUGCUUUCAAGGCUUUUGGCUUUUGCUUUUGCUUUAGUAUUGCUUUGGCUUUCUAGUUAUGGUUUUCAACUUUGGUUUGUUUUUAUGUUCUUUUAAUUUUUACUCGUAUAUGUCCACACAUAAAGUGUGAAAUUUUUUACUUUGAUUGUUAAAAUUGAAGGAGAGAGGAAGAGAGUGAGAGAACGUGGGAGUGGAGAGAGAGGGAGAGAGGUUGUUUUUUAUUUUUUAAUUAGAGAUGAUAAAAUUGCAUUUAGGUGAGGAUUAAAAAAAAAAAACAAAAUUUUGUUAUGUGAAAUUACAUUACUGUUCUUAACUUUUUUGUUUGGCUAAAUAUACAAAAUGGUCCUUGAGAUUGUCCACCAUUUAUGAGUUUGGUCCUUUCGUUAAAAACUCUUUGGGCAAUUUUCAAAGCUUCGUAACUCAAUCGUUUCUUAACCAAAUUGGAUCCAUAAUAUAUCAAAAUGAAGAUAAUAAAGUGUAGAACAAGAUUAUACCUGUUUGGAAGCUCAACGAUUGUCGGAGAUGACCGGAAAAUAGCCUGAAAGGUGAUUGGUUCGCGGGAAAACUGGAAAACUCAUCAGAAACUGGGUAAAUUUUAAAC
rnacentral:lncRNA from 1 species